rnacentral:lncRNA from 1 species
ACUGUAAAAGGGCAACAACGCUUCUUAGUUCUCACGGAAAUUCGUCUGCAGUGCAAAAGUGAAAAGUUGUUGAUGAAAUAGAUCCCAGAUGCGAAAAUGGCCAAAACUGAAAAUGGCAAUGCUGCGCCUUUUACUUUAAACAUGGCUGCUGCCAGUGCUGCCUGCUGACAGCCUGACAUUCAACGAGAUCGUUAUGGUGGUAUUAAAAUGUACCGGUACUGCGCCAUUUUCCAUUAUGAAAGUUAAGUUAAAAAUAUUUUGUUUCGUUACGAUAUUGUAUGGUUGCUGAACGUAAAAUUUUUACAUGUUUAUUCACAGGAAAUCUAGCCUGUAAUUUCAAAUCUGCCAAAUCACCUUAUCAGUUGUCAGUUGUCACGUCAUUCACGUGACCUGAAACCAUCCUGAAACUCAUGUCGUUGCUUGCUACUGGUAUCGGUUGUAUGUACAACCCAUGCAAAAACACUUGACAGCAAAACAUCUGAGUAUGAGCUGCAGCCAGUUGGUGAAGGUGUACACAAACCCAAAUCUUGCAGGGGACACUGACUGAAUUGAUUGACCCGGCAAAUGGCGGUUCUUUGCAUUAUUUCCAUCCGACUACUUGUCCAGUCGUUUCCACUGAAGAAUUUUUGCAGCGGAUGGUGGAAUAUACGCGUAGAAUAUAAUUACAAAGUAUUAGGUCUGGAAGAAGAAAAGGUGGAAAGAACAGAACCCACUUCCAAAGAAGAAGAAACGAAAUGAGCUUUUCUCGGUUGGCCUGUGCCGUUUCCCCUGACCAAACUUCUUUUAUUCUUCUCUAUGCGCACCUCUGCUUGGAUCUUGACGUCCAGCUAGAAGAUGCCGUUCGACUCCUUCAGCAAGUUGAAACGCUGCACGAUCAUCGACUAAUGGAAAAAUGCAUUCAGAAAUUAAACCAGAAAAUGUCGCUAGUCACAAAAAAAAAGGUUAUCCACCUUCGAUCAUCAUUCGUUAAAUACGCGGUGGGACUUGUUAUGAUAUACCAACAUAGCGCUUGUAAGCCACCGUUACUGUGUGUAAUCGAAUCCUGGACACACCAUGAUCCACCGUAGGAGAAUAUUUUGUAACGUCCUUUUCGACGAUGGGGAAUUCUUCCUUCGUUGCUGAAGAUAAUUUAAAACUCAACACUGAUGUGUCGUUCGUCAGCAGCCAUCCGAAUAUCGGGCUUUCUUUUGAACGUUUCAACGGCCGCCGAUACUCCAAUGCUGAGAUGAUCUUCCCAGAGGAUGAAGCCUUUGCUCUUUCCCUGGUCGGAUAAAAUUAUACGUAUUAUCGUAUCGUAUUAUGUAAUUGUCUGCCUUUUACGUACAUUAGCUGCUAAAUAGUUUCGUCAAAUUUUACGAGAAAUCAAAAAAUUAUUUAGGCCAUUCAGGUUGUUUUUCUUAAAUUCAACCAAUGUACAACUGUAUGUAAAAUUGUAAAUCAGGUUCUUGUUUCACCUUUUCAUUCAUCAUUUUGUAGCUUAAAUCUUGUGUUAUUUUGCAAACAAUUUUAACUUUCACUUUACUUAAAAAUUCCAGACAGAACUCCCUCCUACCUCUGGGUAUCAAUCUGGGUCGCCUCUGACCCCAAUUAAGAAGUAAAGGCCCCCUGUGUAAGAAAGGUAGGUAAAGGAAGGAAUCCAACAUAGAAGACUUUAAACGUAAACAGAAAUCUAAAAGAUUUAUUUUGUAACAACUUACAAGUGAUUUUUGUGCUACAAAAUAGCACUUAUAAACCAAUAAAAUCAGACAAGGAAGAGCAUUCACAAAGACAAA